AAACAGUUUGGCUGUGCACUCUAAAGGGACUGCCGAUGAGAAAUCGGAGGAAGGUGGGGAUGACGUCAAAUCAUCAUGCCCUUUAUGUCCUGGGCUACACACGUGCUACAAUGGUCGAUACAACGGGCUUGCCACCUCGCAAGAGGGAGCUAAUCCCACAAAGUCGAUCCCAGUUCGGAUUGUAGGCUGCAACUCGCCUACAUGAAGCUGGAGUUGCUAGUAAUCGCAAAUCAGAAUGUUGCGGUGAAUACGUUCCCGGGUCUUGUACACACCGCCCGUCACACCAUGGAAGUUGACAAUACCCGAAGCCAGUGAGCCAACCAUUUGGAGGCAGCUGUCGAAGGUAGGGCCAAUGACUGGGGUGAAGUCGUAACAAGGUAGCCGUAUCGGAAGGUGCGGCUGGAUCACCUCCUUU
rnacentral:rRNA from 1 species